AGGCAUUCACUACUUACUUUUCCAGUAUCUACUAUGGACUGAACAAGUGCAGUAAGGCCUUAAAGGUGUGGAAAUCAAAUUUUCAAGAUUAUCUAAGCAGACUUCCAGUAUUACGUUGAAUAGGAGUGGUGAAAGUGGCCAUCUUUGUCUUGUUCCCGGUCUUGGGGGAAUGCUUCCAACUUUUCCUCAUGCAGUAUGAAGUUCGCUGGGUGAGUCUUAUAUGGCUUUCAUUAUUUGUCUUAUGUUCCUUUGAUGCCUAAUUUGUUAAGGGUUUUUCUCACCAAUUGAUGCUGAAUUUUAUCAAAUUUUUUUUCCUCAUCUACUGAAAUGAUCAUAUGGUUUUGUUUACAGUUCUGUUUAUGUGGUGAAUCACAGUUAUUGAUUUGUGUAUGAAACA
rnacentral:lncRNA from 1 species